UACGUAGGGUGCGAGCGUUGCCCGGAAUUAUUGGGCGUAAAGAGCUCGUAGGCGGUGUGUCGCGUCGGCCGUGAAAACCUGGGGCUCAACUCUGGGCGUGCGGUCGAUACGGGCAUCACUUGAGUUCGGCAGGGGAGACUGGAAUUCCUGGUGUAGCGGUGAAAUGCGCAGAUAUCAGGAGGAACACCGGUGGCGAAGGCGGCGAUCUGGGUCGAUACUGACGCUGAGGUGCGAAAGCGUGGGGAGCAAACAGG
rnacentral:rRNA from 1 species